CCUGCCGGCGACCGGCGCACGGGUGAGUAACACGUAUGCGACCUGCCCCCCGCAGGGGGAUAACCGGGAGAAAUCCCGACUAAUACCGCGUAACGCCGCGGACCUGCAUGGGUCUGCGGCCAAAGGAAGCGAUUCCGGCGGGGGUGGGCAUGCGGCGCAUUAGCUAGUCGGCGGGGUAACGGCCACCGAGGCGACGAUGCGUAGGGGUUCUGAGAGGAAGGUCCCCCACACUGGUACUGAGACACGGACCAGACUCCUACGGGAGGCAGCAG
rnacentral:rRNA from 1 species